CCUACGGGGGGCAGCAGUAGGGAAUAUUCGGCAAUGGGCGCAAGCCUGACCCAGCAACGCCGCGUGAAGGAAGAAGGCUUUCGGGUUGUAAACUUCUUUUGUCAGGGAAGAGUAGAAGACGGUACCUGACGAAUAAGCCACAGCUAACUACGUGCCAGCAGCAGCGGUAAUACGUAGGUGGCAAGCGUUGUCCGGAUUUACUGGGUGUAAAGGGCGUGUAGCCGGGUUGACAAGUCAGAUGUGAAAUCCUGCGGCUUAACCGCAGAACUGCAUUUGAAACUGUUGAUCUUGAGUACUGGAGAGGCAGGUGGAAUUCCUAGUGUAGCGGUGAAAUGCGUAGAGAUUAGGAGGAACACCAGUGGCGAAGGCGGUCUGCUGGACAGCAACUGACGGUGAGGCGCGAAAGCGUGGGGAGCAAACAGGAUUAGAUACCCGUGUAGUC
rnacentral:rRNA from 1 species